UACGGCUUUUCCCGUUUUUUCGUUGUGCUGUUAUCUGUAAUUAAACAGCACAACGAAAAAACGGGAAAAGCCGUA
rnacentral:pre_miRNA from 1 species